GUUUGAUCCUGGCUCAGAACGAACGCUGGCGGCGUGACUAACCCAUGCAAGUCGAGCGCGAAAGUAUCCUUCGGGAUGCGAGUAGCGCGGCGGAAGGGUGAGUAAUGCAUGGGUAACGUACCCCAGGCACGAGGAUAGCCCACCGAAAGGUGGAGUAAUACUCGAUGAGACCACCAGACUCGUGUGUAUGCACGAGUCAGCGGUCAAAGGGUGGGGAUCCCGACUUCGGUCGGGACCUGCCGGCCUGGGAGCGGCCCAUGUCCCAUCAGCUUGUUGGUAGGGUAAUGGCCUACCAAGGCGACGACGGGUAGCCGGACUGAGAGGUUGGCCGGCCACACUGGGACUGAGACACUGCCCAGACUCCUACGGGAGGCUGCAGGGAUGAAUCUUCCGCAAUGGGCGAAAGCCUGACGGAGCGACGCCGCGUGCGGGAAGAAGCCCUUCGGGGUGUAAACCGCUGUCAAGGGCUACCAAGCAAAUCCCCCUAAUACGGGGAGGCGUUGAGGAGCCCUAAAGGAAGCCACGGCUAACUUCGUGCCAGCAGCCGCGGUAAGACGAAGGUGGCGAGCGUUGUUCGGAAUCACUGGGCUUAAAGAGCACGUAGGCGGCCUGAUAAGCGCCGAGUGAAAUCCCUCGGCCUAACCGAGGAACUGCUCGGCGAACUGUCAGGCUUGAGGCAGGUAGAGGCGUGCGGAACUCUUGGUGGAGCGGUGAAAUGCGUAGAUAUCAAGAGGAACGCCGGUGGCGAAGGCGGCACGCUGGGCCUGUCCUGACGCUGAGGUGCGAAAGCCAGGGGAGCGAACGGGAUUAGAUACCCCGGUAGUCCUGGCCCUAAACGAUGUCCACUAGGUCGGAGGCUAUUGACGGGCUUUCGACCGAAGCGAAAGCGUUAAGUGGACCGCCUGGGGAGUACGGUCGCAAGGCUAAAACUCAAAGGAAUUGACGGGGGCUCACACAAGCGGUGGAGCAUGUUGCUUAAUUCGAUUCAACGCGAAGAACCUUAUCCUGGGC
rnacentral:rRNA from 1 species